AGAGUUUGAUCCUGGCUCAGAUUGAACGCUGGCGGCAUGCCUAACACAUGCAAGUCGCGCGCGAAAGGGGGCAACCCUGAGUAGAGCGGCGGACGGGUGCGUAAUACAUAGGAAUCUACCUCGUUGUGGGGGACAACCCGGCGAAAGCCGGGCUAAUACCGCAUACGACCUAAGGGUGAAAGCCGGGGACCGUAAGGCCUGGCGCAAUGAGAUGAGCCUGUGUCGGAUUAGCUAGUUGGUGAGGUAAAGGCUCACCAAGGCGACGAUCCGUAGCUGGUCUGAGAGGACGACCAGCCACACUGGGACUGAGACACGGCCCAGACUCCUACGGGAGGCAGCAGUGGGGAAUAUUGGACAAUGGGGGCAACCCUGAUCCAGCAAUGCCGCGUGUGUGAAGAAGGCCUUCGGGUUGUAAAGCACUUUCGGUGGGGACAAACAAGGUGGCGCUAACAUCGCCGCCUCUGAUGGUACCCAAAGAAGAAGCACCGGCUAACUCUGUGCCAGCAGCCGCGGUAAUACAGAGGGUGCGAGCGUUAAUCGGAAUUACUGGGCGUAAAGCGUGCGUAGGUGGUUUGUUAAGUCAGGUGUGAAAUCCUUGGGCUCAACCUGAGAAUUGCAUUUGAAACUGGCAAACUCGAGUGUGGUAGAGGGUAGUGGAACUCCCGGUGUAGCGGUGAAAUGCGUAGAUAUCGGGAAGAACACCAGUGGCGAAGGCGGCUACCUGGACCAACACUGACACUGAGGUACGAAAGCGUGGGGAGCAAACAGGAUUAGAUACCCUAGUAGUCC
rnacentral:rRNA from 1 species